AUUGAACGCUGGCGGCAUGCCUUACACAUGCAAGUCGAACGGUAACGCGGGGGCAACCCUGGCGACGAGUGGCGAACGGGUGAGUAAUACAUCGGAACGUACCCAGUAGUGGGGGAUAGCUCGGCGAAAGCCGGAUUAAUACCGCAUACGACCUAUGGGUGAAAGCGGGGGAUCGCAAGACCUCGCGCUAUUGGAGCGGCCGAUGUCGGAUUAGCUAGUUGGUGAGGUAAAGGCUCACCAAGGCUACGAUCCGUAGCUGGUCUGAGAGGACGACCAGCCACACUGGGACUGAGACACGGCCCAGACUCCUACGGGAGGCAGCAGUGGGGAAUUUUGGACAAUGGGCGAAAGCCUGAUCCAGCCAUGCCGCGUGUGUGAAGAAGGCCU
rnacentral:rRNA from 1 species